rnacentral:tRNA from 1 species
UGUGACGUGGCAGAGUGGUCUAUUGCAGAAGUUUGCUAAACUUCCGACGUGAAAGCGUCCGUUGGUUCAAAUCCAACCGUCACAG